GACGUAGGGCGCGGAGCGUUGUCCGGAUUUAUUGGGCGUAAAGAGCUCGUAGGCGGUCUGUUGCGUCAGGAGUGAAAACUCGGGGCUUAACCCCGAGCCUGCUUCUGAUACGGGCAGACUAGAGGUAUGCAGGGGGAGAACGGAAUUCCUGGUGUAGCGGUGAAAUGCGCAGAUAUCAGGAGGAACACCGGUGGCGAAGGCGGUUCUCUGGGCAUUACCUGACGCUGAGGAGCGAAAGUGUGGGGAGCGAACAGG
rnacentral:rRNA from 1 species